rnacentral:misc_RNA from 1 species
GACGACCACUGCCCCUUCUCCUAUCCAAAUUCCCAACACCACCACAGCGCCCCCUACUUAUGUCUCAACUCUCAACACCAGCACCGCCGCCGCCGCACCUACGCCGCCACGAGAAGGCCGACUCCACCGCCAACAGCUCAACAACAUAGUCGAUGCACUAAUCGGUGCUGGAGACUUCAACGGAUGGGCCAACAUCCUCUCGGUGGCCGACCCCAUCACUCUUCCUCUCUCCGCCACCCUCUUCAUCCCUGCUGAUGAUUCUCGAUCUCCCAUCUCCACCACCAUGACCAUUGACCCUUUCAUCUUCUCUUACCACAUUGUACCUCAACGCCUCUCCUUCGCUGACCUUCGGCAAUUCAAGCUCUAUUCUCGCCUUCCUACGCUACUCCCAUCCAAGCACAUUCUCAUCACCAAUAAUUCCAGUUCCAACUAUACACUGGAUGACUCUCUUCUUUCUCAUCCCGAUCUUUUCAUCACUGGCACUGUCGCCGUCCAUGGAAUG